rnacentral:rRNA from 1 species
GCAUAUCAAUAAGCGGAGGAAAAGAAACCAACAGGGAUUGCCUUAGUAACGGCGUAGUGAAGCGGCAACAGCUCAAAUUUGAAAUCUGGCCGCAAGGCCCGAGUUGUAAUUUGUAGAAGGAUGCUUUGGGCGCGGCGCCUUCCGAGUUCCCUGGAACGGGACGCCAUAGAGGGUGAGAGCCCCGUCUGGUUGGAUGCCUAGCCUAUGUAAAGCUCCUUCGACGAGUCGAGUAGUUUGGGAAUGCUGCUCAAAAUGGGAGGUAUAUGUCUUCUAAAGCUAAAUACCGGCCAGAGACCGAUAGCGCACAAGUAGAGUGAUCGAAAGAUGAAAAGCACUUUGAAAAGAGGGUUAAAUAGUACGUGAAAUUGUUCAGAGGGAAGCGUUUCUGACCAGACUUGGGCUCGGUGAAUCAUCCAGCGUUCUCGCUGGUGCACUUUGCCGGUCCAGGCCAACAUCAGUUCGUCGCGGGGGAUAAAGGCUUCGGGAAAGUGGCCCCCUCGGGGGUGUUAUAGACCGUUGUGCAAUACCCUGCGAUGGACUGAGGUUCGCGCUCCGCAAGGAUGUUGGCGUAAUGGUCAUCAACGACCCGUCUUGAAACACGGACCAAGGAGUCGUCUUCGUAUGCGAGUGUUCGGGUGUCAAACCCCCUACGCGUAAUGAAAGUGAACGGGAGGUGAGAGCUACGGCGCAUCAUCGACCGAUCCUGAUGUUCUCGGAUGGAUUUGAGUAAGAGCAUACGGGGCCGGACCCGAAAGAAGGUGAACUAUGCCUGUAUAGGGUGAAGCCAGAGGAAACUCUGGUGGAGGCUCGCAGCGGUUCUGACGUGCAAAUCGAUCGUCAAAUAUGGGCAUGGGGGGCGAAAGACUAAUCGAACCUUCUAGUAGCUGGGUUUCCGCCG